rnacentral:tRNA from 1 species
GGCAUGGUGGCUGAAUGGUAAAGCGCUUAGCUUCGGAACAAGUGGUCCUGGGUACGAAUCCUGGUGAAGACU